rnacentral:antisense_RNA from 1 species
UUUGGUGACUGCGCUCCUCUUAAGCCAGUUACCGCGGUUCAGAAACUUGCCGGUUGCUGAACCUUCGAAAAACCACCUUGCCGGGUGGUUUUUUCGU